UGUCAUAUCACCGUAAAACACCCGGUCUCGUACGAUCACCGAAGUUAAGCAACGUCGAGUUUGGUUCGUAGAUUGGUGACCGUUUGGGAAUACCAAGCGCUGUAAU